rnacentral:rRNA from 1 species
CCAGCUCCAAUAGCGUAUAUUAACGUUGUUGCAGUUAAAAAGCUCGUAGUUGAAGUGYGUUUUUGUGUUGAUGAGUGACUUCGGUUAUUUAUGAAUACGAAUUCCAUUAAUAAGAUUCAUAGGGGGUAUUAAUUUAUCGUUUAUGAGUGUUAUUUCAUUUACUGUGAGAAAAUUAGAGUGUUCAAAGCAGACGUUUGUUUGAAUAGAUUAGCAUGGAAUAAUAGUAUAUGGCUUACGAUAUAUAUGUUAUGGUUGAAUAUUGUAAGUAAGAUUAAUAGGAACAGUUGGGGGUAUUCAUAUUCAAUAGUCAGAGGUGAAAUUCUCGGUUUUAUGGAAGAUGAACGAAUGCGAAAGCAUUUACCAAGGAUGUUUUCAUUAUUCAUGAACGAAAGUUAGGGGAUCGAAGAGGAUUAGAUACCCUCGUAGUCUUAACUAUUAACGAUACCGACUAGGGCUUAGUGGAAGUCUUUGUGUUYUCAUUAGGACCUUAUGAGUAAUCAAAGUCUUUGGGUUCCGGGGGGAGUAUGGUCGCAAGGCUGAAACUUAAAGGAAUUGACGGAAGGGCACCACCAGGAGUGGAGCCUGCGGCUUAAUUUGACUCAAC